rnacentral:rRNA from 1 species
UAAAAGUAACCCGCUAAAAGAUGCGUAUGCGCAAGAUUAGGUAGUUGGGGUCGGUAACAGCGAACCCAAGCCUACGAUCUUUAGUUGGUCUGAGAGGACGAUCAACCACACUGGAACUGAGACAAGGUCCAGGCUAAUAUUUAGCCAGCAGUGAGGAAUAUUGGACAAUGAACGAAAGUUUGAUCCAGCAAUACUAUGUGAAUGAUGACGGCUAUUUGGUUGUAAAAUUCUUUCGGUAAAAAAUGAUAAUGACAUUAUUUACAGAAGUUUUAGUCCCGGCUAAUCUCGUGCCAGCAGCCGCGGUAAUACGGGAGGGGCAAGCGUUAUCCGAAAUAACUGGGCGUAAAGGGUCCGUAGAUUGUAUUGUAAGUUAUUUGUUAAAUUCUAAAGCUCAACUUUAGAAAAUUCAUUUAAUACUACUAUACUUGAGUUUAAAUCAGAAGAAUAGAAUUUCAUGUUGAGAAGUAAACUAUCGUAGACACAUGAAGGAACACCGUCGGUGAAGUCGAUUCUUUAGUAAAAACUGACGUUGAGGGACGAAAGUGUAGGUAUCAAACAGGAUUAGAUACCCUGGUAGUCUACACUGUAAAUUCUGAGUGCUGUAAUUUAAUUAAUUUUAGAUUUUUUAAGCUAACGCAAUAAGCACUCCGCCUGAGGAGUACGGCCGCAAGGUUGGAACUCAAAGGAAUUGACGGGGGCCUACAACGAGUGGUGGAGCAUGUGGUUUAAUGCGAUAAUCCGCGCAAAACCUUACCAGCCUUUGUAAAUAUAAUAAUUUGUAAUGUUUAAUGUAAAAAUUGCACGCAUAACGAAAUAUAAUACAGGUGUUGCACGACUGUCGUCAGCUCGUGUCGUAAGAUGUUUGGUUCAUUCCUUUAACGAGCGCAACUCUUAUUUUUAAGUAAUUUCAUACUUUUAAGAAGAAUUUUCCGUUAAUUCUUCAAUUAAGCUAUAAAUAAUACUCAGUCAAUGAUAAGUUGAAGGAAGGUAAGAAUUAAGUCAAGUCACUGUGGCCCUUAUAGGCUGGGCUACACACGUGCUACAAUAAAAAUUACAGAAACGUACUAAAAUUGAAACAAAUUUUAGUUAGUUAAAGAUUUUUUUUACGGAUUGUAAGCUGCAACUCGUUUACAUGAAGUUGGAAUCACUAGUAAUCGCAAAUCAGAAUGUUGCGGUGAAUACGUACCUUGGCCUUGUACACACCGCCCGUCACAUGCAGAGAACUAGUUUCACUUGAAAAUUUAAUGGUUGUUAGAAAAGAUAUUUUUCUUUGCGCUUAUUAGGUUCAUUGCGAAAUUGAUGAUUUGGAUGAAGUCGUAACAAGGUAGCUGUACGGGAACGUGUAGCUGGA